AAACGUAAGUAGGUGUCCCUGCUACCA
rnacentral:tRNA from 1 species